UAGGGAAUCUUCCACAAUGGGCGAAAGCCUGAUGGAGCAACGCCGCGUGUGUGAUGAAGGCUUUCGGGUCGUAAAGCACUGUUGUAUGGGAAGAACAGCUAGAAUAGGAAAUGAUUUUAGUUUGACGGUACCAUACCAGAAAGGGACGGCUAAAUACGUUCCAG
rnacentral:rRNA from 1 species